rnacentral:tRNA from 1 species
GGGCCUUUAGCUCAGCUGGUUAGAGCAACCGGCUCAUAACCGGUUGGUCCGGGGUUCGAGUCCCUGAAGGCCCACCA